rnacentral:RNase_P_RNA from 1 species
GGCAGCGGGAGGCCGGCCCCCGUGGCGAGAGCCAUGAGGAAAGUCCCCCCACCCGUCGGACAGGUGACCGGGCACAAGCCCGGGGCGGGAGACCGUCGGCUAUGGAACAGCAACGACACGUCGUCGUGGGACCGAUGAGGUGCGCGAAUCCCGAGCGAAGCGCCGUGGUGCCGUCCGCUGAAGCGAGGGAGAGCUAACCCACCGAGGACCCGUACCGUGGCUCGCCAUCCGGCGUGUCACGCUCCCCACGACGGACCGAUGGAACGGCGAAUCCUCACCGGUGCAAGGGCGCGUCGACAGGUAGUCCGACACCGCGCGCAAGCGCUCGGACGCGACCGCUCAGCCGAAUGCCGGCCCGAACAGAAGGGGGCUUACUCCCCGCAGCC